GGCACUAUAGCCAAGUGGUUAAGGCGACAGAUUAGAAUAAUGCAUAUUGCAAUAUCUUUAUCAUUAUCUGUUACUCUCUGAGUGCGCAGGUUCCAAUCCUGCUGGUGUCG